rnacentral:rRNA from 1 species
CCUACGGGGGGCAGCAGUGGGGAAUAUUGGACAAUGGGCGAAAGCCUGAUCCAGCCAUGCCGCGUGUGUGAAGAAGGCCUUCGGGUUGUAAAGCACUUUCAGUGGGGAAGAAAGCCUUGGGGCUAAUACCCUCGAGGAAGGACAUCACCCACAGAAGAAGCACCGGCUAACUCCGUGCCAGCAGCCGCGGUAAUACGGAGGGUGCGAGCGUUAAUCGGAAUUACUGGGCGUAAAGCGCGCGUAGGCGGUCUGAUAAGCCGGUUGUGAAAGCCCCGGGCUCAACCUGGGAACGGCAUCCGGAACUGUCAGGCUAGAGUGCAGGAGAGGAAGGUAGAAUUCCCGGCGUAGCGGUGAAAUGCGUAGAGAUCGGGAGGAAUACCAGUGGCGAAGGCGGCCUUCUGGACUGACACUGACGCUGAGGUGCGAAAGCGUGGGUAGCAAACAGGAUUAGAUACCCUUGUAGUC